rnacentral:rRNA from 1 species
ACGCUCGACACCUACGGGCGGCAGCAGUGGGGAAUAUUGCACAAUGGGGGAAACCCUGAUGCAGCAACGCCGCGUGAAGGAAGACGGUUUUCGGAUUGUAAACUUCUGUUCUUAGUGAAGAUAGUGACGGUAGCUAAGGAGCAAGCCACGGCUAACUACGUGCCAGUAGCCGCGGUAAUCUGAGCGGGCUGGCAAGGC